rnacentral:rRNA from 1 species
UACAGAGGUCUCGAGCGUUGUUCGGAUUCAUUGGGCGUAAAGGGUGCGUAGGUGGCGCUGUAAGUCGGGUGUGAAAUCCUGAGGCUUAACCUCGGAACUGCAUUCGAUACUGCGGCGCUUGAGGACUGGAGAGGAGACUGGAAUUCAUGGUGUAGCAGUGAAAUGCGUAGAGAUCAUGAGGAAGACCAGUGGCGAAGGCGGGUUUCUGGACAGUAACUGACGCUGAGGCACGAAGGCCAGGGGAGCAAACGGG